ensembl:lncRNA
AUGGUAAUUUAGGGCCUGAAUUACCCAUAAACGAUACAUUAAUAGACACAGCAAUGUCAUAUUUGGCAAAUUACACUUUAUUCAAACAAAUGUAUAAAACCUGUUCUGAGAUAAAUCUGGAUUGCUCAUAAAUGGAUUUGAUUAAUUGUCCAAAUUAAUCAAAUUAUAUCACAUUAUAUCACAUUUAAAAUGUACAUCAAAACCCCUAAAUUGGUCAAUAAACAAAUGAAGGCAUUUAAAAAAAUUGUUUUAAAUCUUCAACAUUCAAACACGUCUUUAUUGUUACUAUUAACAAUGAAUAAUGAAUAUAAAUAUAGUGCACUAUUAUCAGGUGCCUUUUAGACACAACCUUAGGUUCACAGAAAUAUGUAAAAAUCAUCCCCUUAAAUAAAUAUCAUGAUUGUCAUUAUUUCACUGUGCGUUUAAACUUCUCUUCAACAAGACGUGAAUCACAGGACAAGAUAUCAACCGAAACAGGAUAAGAUGUCAAACUGAAACAGGACAAGAUAUCAACCGAAACAGGACAAGAUGUCAAACUGAAACAGGACAAGAUAUCAAACUGAAACAGGACAAGAUGUCAAACUGAAACAGGACAAGAUGUCAAACCGAAACAGGACAAGAUGUCAAACUGAAACAGGACAAGAUGUCAAACCGAAACAGGACAAGAUGUCAAACUGAAACAGGACAAGAUGUCAAACUGAAACAGGACAAGAUGUCAAACCGAAACAGGACAAGAUGUCAAACUGAAACAUCAGUGAAUAUAUUUUUAGAACCACAUUAACAACAAGGAGGACAAGAAUUCACAUUGUUGUUGUCAUGAAAAACCAUGACUAGUUAAAUAAAGGUUAAAUACAACAACAAAAACCAUCACCCUAUUCCCUAUAUAGUUCACUACUUUCCCUAUAUAGUGCAAAACUGACCAGAGCCCUAUUACCUACAGGCCCUAGGCAAAAGUAGUGCACUAUAUAGGGAAUAGUGUGCCAUUUGGGAAGCAUGAAACUGAGGUCAAGAGAAGAGUCCAGUCUGAAGACAGCGACAGGUCAAUGCAGGUUACAACCUCUUAAUGACAGGUCAUAGCAGGAGACUUCACCAGGUGGGAGCCAGCCAAUUUAGACACUCUAACGCCAAUUCAUACCCUAGAAAACAGGCCUGAGGGAGACAGAGAGGAGAUCAGAGCAGAAAGAACCCUAGAAAGAAAAUGAUGGGUUAUGGAUGCUGAUAGGUGGGUUGGUGUGGUACUAGAUGC